UACGUAUGGAGCAAGCGUUAUCCGGAUUUACUGGGUGUAAAGGGAGAGUAGGUGGCAGAGCAAGUCCGAAGUGAAAACCCAAAGCUCAACUAUGGGAAUGCUUUAGAAACUGCUCAGCUAGAGUGCAGGAGAGGCAAGUGGAAUUCUUAGUGUAGCGGUGAAAUGCAUAGAUAUCACGAAGAACUCCGAUUGCGAAGGCAGCAUACCGGCGCCCAACUGACGCUGAAGCACGAAAGCGUGGGUAUCGAACAGG
rnacentral:rRNA from 1 species